ensembl:ncRNA F53B3.11 ncRNA
UGUAAUUGACGACCAUUGGGAGAUGAAAACCGGCUCCAAGGGGUGACAAGAAAGAUGCUCCGGUCCGGGGGUCCGUUUUUCGAAAAGCCCCGCAUCUGGUGCGGCCUAGCGGAUAGUAGUAGACACACACACACACACACACG